rfam:Citrus clementina cultivar Clemenules unplaced genomic scaffold scaffold_5, whole genome shotgun sequence.
GUUUACCUAUUCGUAGACAUCCGAUAAAAAUGGAACGGGAUAGAGAAAAUUAGCAUGGCCCCUACGCAAGGAUGACACGCACAAAUCAAGAGAUGGUCUAUUUAUCU